UGAUUGAUGAUGAUUAUCGCUAAAAUAUGGAAUUACCGUCUGAGUUUUAUUACUUUGAUGUGAAAAACGCUGGCUUUACUGAGAUUACCU
rnacentral:snoRNA from 2 species